GACGGAAAUCGUCAGGAUGCUACAGGGUCUUGCUACUGCUUCUGAUCAAUUGUUGAGGAAUGCCUCUCCCCAGAUUUCCGCAUGACAAGUAAAAUUGGCGUGAUCGAUUUAUGUUUAGCCUGUUUUUAUUCUCCGUUGUGCUGCUGCUGCUGCUGCUGCGGGUAAAUUUCUUGUUGUCUGCUAUGUGUAAACUUUUAUCUGGUACAUCUUGUUGAUUAGGUAUGCUUGACUUUUGC
rnacentral:misc_RNA from 1 species